UCUACCUGACUCCAAAAGCUGUAACCUUUAAAACAAGUGUUCAGCCUGUUUCCUUCCUCCUAUACUGACAUCCACUAGUUAGAACAUUCAGAAUUUUUUUCAAAACUAUAAUGUCUGUGUGUGUGUGUGUUUAUUUUUAGGGCCACAUCCACAGCAUAUGGAGGUUCCCAGACCAGGGGCCAAAUUGGAGCUGUAGCUACCGGCCUACAUCACAACCACAGCAACGCCAGAACCAAGUCGCAUCUGCUAUGUAUGCCACAGCUCACAGCAACGCCAACACUGGAUCCUUAACCCACUGAGUGAGGCCAGGGAUCGAAACUGCAUCUUCAUGGAUGCUAGCCAGAUUCCUUUCCACCGAGCCAUGUCAGGAACUCCCAAAACUAUAGUGUCUUAAAGUGACUUUUACAAUAUUUUUGGUUCUACUUGGAUUGUGUCAAGUACACUAGUUUUUAGCAAAUAUUUAAAGCGAUAUUUUGUUUAAUCUGUAGAAUUUUUGAAUGAGAAUGAAUUUUCAAGAUUAUCUAAAUAAACUACCUUUACUUUUACUAAAAAAGAACAACAAAGCCAUAAAAAUGUGAGAUUUUCCCAUGGUCACGUAAGUCUACAGUAGAGUCAAGAACAGGACCAGAAUCCACUUCUUAUAAAUGCCACCCAAUCCUUUCUCUGCUUGUUGAUGAUGAACGAAAAAGUUUUUGUUCUAGAACAUUUACAACCUGUACAUGAUAACUUGGUGUGUCAUUCUAACACUUGCUUUCUGUAGAAGUAGGCACAAAUUUUAAAUGUUCCUCUUUUUUCCCUUCUACCAACAUGAGCAACGUAAUAUUCAGCUGUCGAUAAUCUUGAUGCCUUUGUGUUCCAGUCAAACCAGCAUCAUGCCAUGUAUCUUUUCUCUUAAGCAUGAGCAUGAAAAAAAUUUCUCCCUCAUCAAAAAUAAAAACAAAAAAAAUGACAACAAUUCUCCAUGCUGCAACCUAUUUUUUAGGUAGUGUAGUGCCAUUUACUCUUCCAUUUCUGUUUUUUUAAAAAAAGAAAGAAAAUAUACAAUAUAUAAAAGGAUUAGCUGUGAUUGUCUUCCCAUGAGAACUUUCACUUCAUGAGCACACUAAGACUGAAAUCUGUUAUUAAUAAUAGAAGGCAGAUCAUAUCAUGUCUUCUUUUAGUAAGCACAAGAAGAUUUUUUAGUAAAAGUAUAAACACAAACUAUGUAUGCUUACAUAUUCUCAUUAUGAAACAGUUCUCUUUAGUAAUGCAAAUUUUAAUAUUCAUGUAACUGGCAAGUAUUUAAAAAUAUUAUGUUUGCAAAGUCUUUAUAGUGAAGCAUGAAAUCUAAAUAUCAAUAAGGAGAUAGAAAUUUGCUAUAAAGAUCAUUAUUUAUUAAAAUAAUGAUCUAAAGAAGCUGGAAAAGUGUUCUGUUAGCUUCCACUUGGUGAACUUAGUCAAGUGGUCUCCAAACUCAGUUACUUCUGAAAUAACCAGUGUUAAAAAAUGGUAAAGUCCCAUUCAGGCUUACUCCCUUUGCUGUUAUUUAGCAGUAAAUCCAGGGAAAAGGUGCCAUUUGUUGAAGUUUUAUGUGAAAUACAGGAUAAGAUGUAUGGAAAAUCUUCAUGACUCCCUUAACGAAUUUUGGAAAACUUAGUUCCAGUUUUGUUUCUUCCAUUUUAUAAAAGAAACUUCAUGUUUGUUUGUAUUACCUUCUAAAAUAUCUUCCUCUAUAGUAUGGGGAAAAAUAAUGCCAACAUUCUUUAAAAGACUGUUGUGAGAAUAAAAUCUGAUAAAAACUAUAAAAGUACUUUGUAAAGUGCAGAAUACAAAAGUAUUAGUUUUUACCUUCUAAACACUGGUGGUAGAAAUAUUAAAUGGUGUAUUCUAUAUAAAAAGUGACAUUAAAUAUAAGGCAAGUACUUUAAACAUCUACCAUGCCCUUUGAUUUAACAACUUCACUUUAAAGAUUCUAUCAUCAUGAAAUAAUCAAAGAUGUGGCAGAAGAUGUACAAUAAGAUCACGACAGUAAAAUUUGCUGAUAAUAAAUAGCACAGAAACAGUCUAAAAUACCAAAAAAAAAUGAUAAACACAGAAACAGUCUAAAAUACCAAAAAAAAUGAUAAAGUCAAAUCAUCAAAUCAUCCAUUAAUUAAAAAAUCAUGGCCUUGAAAAUUAAUGAUAGAUACUAUCAAAUGUGCAUGAUAUAAUAACAAGCAAAAUAGAAAACUGGAUUUAUAAUACCAUUAUAAAUACGCAUUAUAAUUACAAAUAAGUUGUGUGCAUGAGUUCAAGUGUGUGUGUGUUGACAAAGAUUCUUUGCUUAACCAAACUUAAGUCAAUUUCCUGAAACUUAUUCUGACCAUUUCCUUAUAAAAUCCAGUUUUAGCAAUAACUCUACUAAGUCAGUCAGAUAUCAUAUAUCAGGAUAUAUGAUAUCCCUUAGUAUCUGAUCAGAUUCUUCAUUCUCUAACAUCCUGCCUGGUGUUCAGCAAAGAAUCCAGUUAAAUCAGUUUAGCCAGGAACUCCUUUAUUUCUGAUAUUAAUUUUCCUACUCCUUCCUCUGAGUAAAUUUCCUGAUCCCUACCCUGCUCCUGGCCCAUAAGUUCCCAUUUGCCCAGGCUGUAUUCAGAAUUAAGCCUGGUUCUACACUAAGGUCUUUUUUUCCUCUAUUCUAACAAUCCAACUAUGGUUUUAUUUUUGUUGGUCUGUAUGUGAAGGAACUAAUCAAAAUGGUAGAAAAGUUUCUCUGCUUAUGUCUGGGUGUUGAAAUUAUGGGUGAUUUGCAUUUUCUUUAUACUUGUUUAUCUCUCUAAACUUUUCUACAAUAAAGUUGCUUUAUUUUUACAGUCAAAAAUAGAUUAUUAGUCCAUAAAAAGGGAGUUUCCACUGUGGCAUGGGGGGGAGGAAGUGGGAUGGACAGGGAGGUUAGGGUUAGAAGAUGCAAACUAUUACAUUUAGAAUGACUAAGCAAUGCGGUCCUAUUGUAUAUCAUAGGGAACUAUAUCCGAUCUCUUGGGAUAGACCGUGAUGGAAGAUAAUAUCAGAAAAAGAAUAUGUCAGGGUCACUAUGCUGUAUAGCAGAAAUUGACACAACACUGUAAAUUAGCUAUACUCUAAUAAGAAAGAAAAAAGGAAGGAAGGAGGGAAGGAUGGAGAGAGGAGAAGGAGGGAAAGAGAGAGGGAGGGAUGGAGAAAGGGAGGGGAGGAGGAAAGAAAGGAAAGGAAAGUAGGAAAGAAGGAUGGAAGAAUCCAGCUGCUGCGUCUCGGCUUGCUACAGAGGCGUGGGUUCAAUCCCUAUCCUGGCACAGUGCGUUAAAGGAUAGGUCAUAGCUGCAGGUCAAAUUUGAUCCCUGGCCCAGGAACUUCCCCAUGCCAUAGUUGUGGCCAUCAAGAAAAAAGUCAAGAAACAGAUUAUUAGUAAAGAUAAGUGAUGAAAAAGAAACUCAUUUAGUAUCACAUGCAUUUCUAAUAGCACUGUGAAACAUUGUAAGCACAAUUAUAACUACCAAAUGAGUGGUCCCAGCUAUAUGCUUAGCAUCAUGCUCACUACUUCAUGGAUGUUAUUUUUGCAAAGUCUGUAACUAGGCAUCAUUGUUUCCAUUAUCAAGUUGAAAAAACUAUGUCUCAGGUUAAAUUCUUGCCAAAAGACAGAGGGUUACUAAACGGUAGAAACUUUUGUCAAACCCUACUCUGUAUGAUUUUAAAGCACAUCUGUUUAACCACUAUCUUUUCUCAAAUAUUAAAAUAGCUAAGUGUAAUCUGUACGUUCCUCUCAAUAACUUAAUCUAGAAAAGAAUAAAUGGGACAUAGGAAAAUAAAUUACAUAGUCUCUACCUUCAUGGUCUAUUGUAGAAGAAAAUAUAUAUGCAAAUAAACAACCUUAUACUUCAAUAGUGUGUAGAAAGGGAAUGCAACACAGCGCUACACUGAAAGCAUGAAUUCUGCAGUUAGAUGAUCAUAGAUUACAAUCCUAAUUAUGCUAUUUAGUUGGACAACCUUGGGCGAGUUGCUUAACCUCUCUCUGAAAAGCUCCUGAAUCAUCUAAGAGGAUGAUGAUAAUAGUUUACAGGAAUGUAGGAAUAUUAAAUGAGAUAAUGGAUAUAUAGUAGUAUUAGAAAUAGAGUGACCUGUGCAUUGUUUAGGAUGUUUUGCUUAACACUGAGUACAAUUUUUAUUUGUUUCUCUUUUAAUUUUUCAUGUUAAUUUUAUAUUGUUUCCAUUAUCACGAUUCUUAUCAUGUUAGAAGUGCCCUCAAUGUAGUAUAAACAGUCAUCUGUCUUCUCCUCCAGCCCAUGCCUAAAGACAGUCCUGAUUAGAUAAGAUGGGUAUGGGACAAGUAUGAGCUAAUGUAACUGAGAACUAUUGAAUCUCUGAAUAUUAGUGUGGAUCACAAAAGGUAAAAGAAUAGAGCAAUUCAGGCAGCAGCUGUAAAGAGUCAGAUGCCAAUGUGAUAGCUAUGGUGAGGCCAGAAAAAUUUCAAAGCAUAAGGAACUUCCAAAAUCAGCCAUGUAGAACUUUGAAACCUAGGGGAGGGAGGCUGAGUUGUGUGCCUUGGGGUGGAGGGUGACUGUUCCUUUCAAAUUGUUGUUGAUAGCAUCUGCCAUUGUUCUCUAUCCCAGGUGUUCAGCCACACUCACACACAAUCCACUACAACAAAGAUAGCCUUCACUGAUUUCUACUAGAUCCUCAUGACAAGUCCACUGCCAUGGACCGGUAAGAGGGGCUGUAAGUCAAACAUAUGAAAAGAAACAGAAUCUAAGUGCUUGUCCUAUUUUACCCAAGCAGUUGUUUCCCAAACAUUAGCACUGGGGUCUUGAUUACAAUGAAUCUGACAUCUUAUAAAAUAACAUAGAUUUUAUUAUUUAGAGACUUCAGGGGAAAGGAGAGCUUACAGUGCCACAUUUCUUAAAGAAUUACUUCCUCACUAAUACUCUCUAAUUUGGAGUGGGAAAUGUAUGUAACCAGUACAAACAGGUAAAUAACUAACAUAAAGAAAUAUUUUCAAAUAAAUAAUAUUUAUCUCUGUAAGCAUUGUUUUUAAACUAUAUUUUAAUGGAUAUAAAAAUUUUUAAUUCCCUUUUAAAUUCCUAAGUAGAGCCUAGUAAACAUAAGUAACAUGUUUUACACAGAAGAAAUAAAAUAAUUGUUUUUGUUUUGGGGGGGUUCAUGUUUUUAUUUUUAGGGCUGCACCUGAGGCAUAAGGAAGUUCCCAGGCUAGGGGUCGAAUCAGAGCUGGAGCUGCCAGCCUACAACAGAGCCACAACAACGGUGGAUCCGAGCCACUCUGCGAGCUAUGCCACAGCUUGUGGCAACACCAGAUCCUUAACCCCCUGAGUGAGGCCAAGGAUCAAACCUGCAUCCUCACAGGCACGAUAUCAAGUUCUUAACCUACUGCGCCACAAUAAGAACUCUCAAAAUAAAAUUUUUCUUAAUUCAAAAUUGUCAUUAAGAAACCGCCAUGAUCCAUCUGUUACUAUAUUAUGUAACUAAAAAUUAACGUCCUCAAGAGGUGCUGCUUUGUUUCAAGUCAUUUGUCCCUGUACUAAUUGGUCUCACAUUGUGCCAGUCAGUGACUUAUAUUUAUUUGUAUAUUUUCUUUGAUUCCCUUGCCAUUUAGAUAUUAGUUCUUACUAGCUGUUGCUCUCCUCAUAUUUGUUUCUAGUGGCUAUCUUUUCAUGCCUACAUUGUCUGCUUCUGAAAUAAAAUGACUAGUGCAUGUGGGUUUUCAGAAAGCAUAAAUGGAGAAGACAGUCUGAGCAAGAACUUGAAGGGUUUGCUUUAGUUUAUGGUAUCCACCAUUUCCAUAUAUAUUUUAAACUUAUUUAUUGAUUUUCAGUUGUAUUCCCAGUGGUUCUAAAUGGUUGAAAUUACCAGUUAGUGACUAAAUAAAUGAAAUGAAUUAGAAUAAAUUUUUUUAGAUGAAAGAGAAGAACAAAGUAAAGAAUUAGGAUGUUUAUGUUAGGAAAUUCAGGAACUUUCUAGACAAGCUUUGAGUACAUGGAAAUACCAGUUCCCUUUAGCUAUAUUACCAAGCUGUUGUAUAAAGAUUCAAGAGAGAAGUGGCCGCCCCAAAUAUUAGAUUCAACUUCUAAGGAUGUGUGGUUUAAAUUCGUUCCUUUGGGAUCCUUUCCUCUCAUCCUACCAUCCCACUGUUAUCCAAGCUCAGGUGCAAAAAGAGAGUUGGUGGCAGGCCUUUGCAAACCUGUUUCUCCCCAUUACAUCUAGGCCCCUAGGAUUUAUCUCGUCUUCUGGUUACAAGGAUAUUCUUUGAUGCAAUCCUUGGAGAUAUGGAAAUGAGAAAAUUUAAAAAAUAGUAAUCUUUCAACUAUUUCUGGGAAGAAAGCCCUUCUUGAAAUUCUGGGGUCAGAAGACUGUAAAAUAGUAUGCAUUUCAGAAGUUACAUCAUAAAUGAAACACUGCUCAAAGACUGGAGUGUGCAGUUUUGCAUUCAGAUGCCAAUCUCUGAUUUUAAAGAAUUGUCAAGGUCUGUAUUAUUUUCUGGGCAGAACAGAAUCAUCCUAAAACUCAACAAAAGGAAUUCACAUAUGAAUAUGGAAUCUUUCCCAUAUUUGACAGGGUAAGAUUUCUUUAAAAUGACAUAGGGAAGAAAAGUCACUCUUCUGAAGUGACUUAUAUGCUUAUUCAACUGUAGUUAUAAAAAGAAAAGGCACAUAUAUUCAUCACUCAAUCUCCCAGAGAUGCUUUCACCUGCUCAUGCCUUUCAGACCUCUUCCCAUGAUGCCAUGUGGAGGCACUAAGUGAGAGCAGCUCUCACAGAAGAUGUAUCUCAUAGAUACAGACUACAGAGAGCAGCCCAGGCACAUGCACAAAGGCCAUAAUUCAAUUGAGAGGUUCUGUGUCCACACACAGGGGAUUUAAGCUUCCUCCUUCCGUUCAUAAACUCAUAGGUACCAAACUUUAUCAUAGCCAGAUUUUUAACUGUGGCCAAAAGCAAACCUGAUGGAGAUACUAUGAAGUUAAAAAGUGAUAAUAAAGCUCUCAGUAGGAAAUACUAGAUUAAAUCUCUAAUGACAGACAGAGAUACUUGACAAGAUGAAAAUGCAGGUACUUGAUAGGAUGAAAAUGUAAAGGUUCCCAGAUUUUAGAAGUUAAAGCUCUACUACUACUUCAGAGACUUCAGUCACAUCUGACUGAGAACACAUUGCACAUGUGGCCAAAUACUGUUUUUAUUAGUUACAAGAAGCCUAAUCCUUCCCAGGAAAGAGUUCCUUUCCAUGGAUGCUUAUUAGUUGACUUAAACCAAUCAAGUAAUUUGCAGG
rnacentral:lncRNA from 1 species